rnacentral:rRNA from 2 species
GACCCUAUAGAAUUUUAUAUUUUUAUUUUAAAAGGUAUUAGUAUUUAAAACUUUUAUAAGAAAAAGUAUUUGGUUGGGGUGAUUGAAAAAUUGAAUAAACUUUUUUUGUAUUUAUACAUAAAUAAGUGGUUAUAUGAUCCUAUUAUAUAGAUUAUAAGAAAAAAUUACCUUAGGGAUAACAGCGUAAUAUUUUUUAAGAGUUCUAAUCGAAAAAAAUGUUUGCGACCUCGAUGUUGGAUUAAAAUUAAGUUUUGGUGUAGAAGCUAAAUGAUUAGGUCUGUUCGACCUUUAAAAUUUUACAUGAUCUGA